UGGGGAAUCUUCGGCAAUGGACGAAAGUCUGACCGAGCAACGCCGCGUGAGUGAAGAAGGUUUUCGGAUCGUAAAACUCUGUUGGUAGAGAAGAACGUUGGUGAGAGUGGAAAGCUCAUCAAGUGACGGUAACUACCCAGAAAGGGACGGCUAACUACGUGCCAG
rnacentral:rRNA from 1 species